rnacentral:rRNA from 1 species
UACGAAGGGGGGCUAGCGUUGUUCGGAAUCACUGGGCGUAAAGGGCGCGUAGGCGGCAGGCCAAGCGUGCGGUGAAAGUCCGGGGCUCAACCCCGGAUCUGCCGUGCGGACUGGUUUGCUAGAGCACUGUAGAGGCGAGUGGAAUUCCGGGUGUAGCGGUGGAAUGCGUAGAGAUCCGGAAGAACACCGGUGGCGAAGGCGGCUCGCUGGGCAGUGGCUGACGCUGAGGCGCGACAGCGUGGGGGAGCAAACAGG